rnacentral:rRNA from 1 species
GAUGAACGCUGGCGGCGUGCCUAAUACAUGCAAGUCGAGCGAACAGACGAGGAGCUUGCUCCUCUGACGUUAGCGGCGGACGGGUGAGUAACACGUGGAUAACCUACCUAUAAGACUGGGAUAACUUCGGGAAACCGGAGCUAAUUCCGGAUAAUAUAUUGAACCGCAUGGUUCAAUAGUGAAAGACGGUUUUGCUGUCACUUAUAGAUGGAUCCGCGCCGCAUUAGCUAGUUGGUAAGGUAACGGCUUACCAAGGCGACGAUGCGUAGCCGACCUGAGAGGGUGAUCGGCCACACUGGAACUGAGACACGGUCCAGACUCCUACGGGAGGCAGCAGUAGGGAAUCUUCCGCAAUGGGCGAAAGCCUGACGGAGCAACGCCGCGUGAGUGAUGAAGGUCUUCGGAUCGUAAAACUCUGUUAUUAGGGAAGAACAAAUGUGUAAGUAACUAUGCACGUCUUGACGGUACCUAUCAGAAAGCCACGGCUAACUACGUG